UUUACUCACAAAACUAUUAUCCAAAACCCUACUUUCUCCACCUCCACCCGUCGUAUUUAUCUUCCCCUUUCCAUCUUUCCUUCACAAAACCCUAAUCUAAGCCGGUCGCAUGUCGUUAACCUCUUCAAUUUGCGAUUCCUCUCUGCUACUCCUUCAUCUCCGGUGAUUACUCCGGAGUAUAAGGGCAGUUUGGCGACACUUAGUUGACCAAAGUCUUCAUGAUUUCAUUCGGUUCAACAUUGAACAGGUAAUAUCGUGUCUACCUGUUUGGUACACGAUACUUGUUAAGGCCAUACACGAUACCUGUUAACUUCGUGUAGGUUCGUGUCGUGUAUUCGUGUAAAAUUGCCGGCCCUAGGAACGAUGACAAGAAGUUGUCAUGGCAGUCAGGAUCGAGAAGUCAGCCAGUUAUGCUAGGAAGUGGUUGUUGCUCCGGCGUCAGUAUCAAGCAUCAAUUCCAUCAAGAUUUUGCAGGACAAGUAAUGGUUGAUGGGCAUGAGCAUGACAUUAAGGAACUUACACUGUGUUCCAGAGUUUACUAAUGGAAGGAAGGAAAAGAAACAAAAAGAAAGUAAAAAUAUUUUGUGUUCCAGAGUUUCAUUUAAGGAAGGAAAAGAAAGUAAAAUAAAAAAUGCCGUGUUCCCGAGUUUCAUUUAAGGAAGGAAUAGAAAGGAAAUUAAAGGAAAACUAAGCUAAAUUCUUUAGUUUUUCUUUCCUUCAGAUUUGGGAGGAAAUGGUGGGAAAGACAUCUUUUUUUUCCUUUCUCGUCCUUUCCUUUCUCACUUUUACUUUCUUUUCUUAUCCCUCGUUAAGUUAACUCGGGAACAGAGCGUUAAAUUGAAAUGGUUAAGACAACAAAUUGGGUUGGUUAGCCAAGAGCCAACAUUCUUUGCGAUAACCAUUCAAGAAAACAUCCUUUUGGGUUGACUCGAUGCGUCCAUGGUUAAAAUUGAAGGAAGCUGCUCGUGUGUCCAAUGCGUAUGAUACUCUGGUCAGACCAUUUUUUGCAUUGGAAGGGUAUUAUCAUCAUUUUAAGCCAGGCCAGAUGGUUUGAUUUAAACAAUUAUAUUAGCAAUACGUGUUUUCUUUAAGUAUUUAUGUUUCUUUAUCAAUAAUUCAUUCUUUUUUAGUCCAUGAUUGCUUUUCUAUCACUUUUUUUGAUAAUCUACUAGAAAGUGUUAGUGGCUUAAGUGAAACUUGGAUGCUUCACGAGGCAUAUCGUUUGUCUCCUUACUGAAUACUCCGGUGAUCCAAACAGGUAUAUUUAUUUUUACACUUACCCAGUUUGAUAAAAUCAUCUUGGGCUCAAAAAAUGGUUUAUUGUGAUUUUGAUUUGAUGGGUCAUUCAGUUGGUGCGCACUGCGCAUAUUUCUUAAAAGAGAAUUCGUUCCGGUGGAUCAUAGGCAGAUCCAACAAAGGAGUAUCACAUGGCAGAAAUUGAAUGCUGGUGUGGAAGAUUAUAUUUUUAGGUCACAUGUAGUUUUUGUUCUCGUAGGGAUGGUUCUGCAGUUACUUUUUGUGUUUUCCUUAUAUUAUAUUUUGGUGGCUUUUAGCAACUUGCUAAGAGCUAUUGGUAUUUAA